UACGGGGGGAGCAAGCGUUGUUCGGAUUUACUGGGCGUAAAGGGCGCGUAGGCGGCGUGACAAGUCACUUGUGAAAUCUCCGGGCUUAACUCGGAACGGUCAAGUGAUACUGUCGUGCUAGAGUACAGAAGGGGCAACUGGAAUUCUCGGUGUAGCGGUGAAAUGCAUAGAUAUCGAGAGGAACACCUGCGGCGAAGGCGGGUUGCUGGGCUGAUACUGACGCUGAGGCGCGAAAGCCAGGGGAGCGAACGGG
rnacentral:rRNA from 1 species